rnacentral:rRNA from 1 species
UACGUAGGUGGCGAGCGUUGUCCGGAUUUAUUGGGCGUAAAGGGCGCGCAGGUGGUGCGGUAAGACUGCCGUGAAAUCUCCUGGCUCAACUGGGAGGGUGCGGUGGAGACUGCCGGACUAGAGGCACUCAGAGGCCGGUGGAAUUCCCGGUGUAGUGGUGAAAUGCGUAGAGAUCGGGAGGAACACCAGUGGCGAAGGCGGCCGGCUGGGGUGACCUGACGCUGAGGCGCGAAAGCGUGGGGAGCGAACCGG